rnacentral:rRNA from 1 species
UUGCAGUUAAAAAGCUCGUAGUUGGAUUUCUGCGGGGGCGGGGCGGCCGGUUGCUUAUAGCAACUCGAGCUAGCACUUCCCCUGCAUCCUGCCGCGAACCGUGCUACCAUUAGUUUGGUGGCGCCGGGGAUCGGCUCGUUUACUUUGAGAAAAAUAGAGUGUUCAAAGCAGGCCACACGCCUUGAAUAAGUUAGCAUGGAAUAAUGAUAAAGGACUUCGGUUCUAUUUUGUUGGUGUUCGGGACUGAAGUAAUGAUUGAUAGGGACAGUUGGGGCGGUCCGUAUUCCAAAGCGAGAGGUGAAAUUCUUAGACCUUCGGUAGACGAACAGCUGCGAAAGCGUUCCGCAAGGAUGUUCCCUUUGAUCAAAGAACGAAAGUUGGGGGAUCGAAAGACGAUC